UUUCCGUAGGUGAACCUGCGGAAGGAUCAUUACUGAGCGAGAAUUCUCUGGCUUUAACCCCCCACUCGAGUUUAUUGUACCUUGUUUCUUCUGUUAGCCUGCCUCACGGCCGCCGGCGGGUAUCUGCCCCCGGGCCUGUGCUCUCCUAACACACCCUGGAUUCCUGUUAUAUAUUUGUUUACAACUCUAAACCUAGAUUAUUUAAAAUUUUCAAUUCCGGAACUAUUCGUUCUGGCAUCGAUGAAGAACGCUGCACAUCAGACGACCAAACGGCUGUAC
rnacentral:misc_RNA from 1 species